rnacentral:sRNA from 1 species
AGCGGAAUUCGUGAGACCCUCUCAAUCCGGAGAUGCUAAGAACAGUGUCCCGCUAAGAGCCAUGACUCACCAGUGCCAGAGGAAUUGAAGUCUGCCCAUUUAUUGUACAGAGGCGCUUUCAAAGUAGCUCUGUUCUCAUCCAGCCCCCAGGUGAGAACACACGCCAGCCUACCCCAUCAGCCCAGGCCUGUGGGACUGGGACAGGUGAGAGGAUCAACCUAGGACACCCUUUUAAGGAGUGAUGUUUCAAACUGGCAAAGGCUGCACAUAGCAGCGCUAAGUGCUGCUACAGUUCCCAAACCUUAGAGAAAAGGGCAAGCUGUGUUCAUAUGGCUGGUCAUGUCGGGGAAAGAAUGCUCCUUCACCUGAGGACAGAAAACCCUUUGUGGCCGGGUGUCCUAAGGGCUGUGCGUAGCCCCUCUUCUGUGCCGGGGAGUCUGGCCCACUCUGGCUCUGCUCCUUAGCAUCCUCCCUGACUUGCCUCAGGUGCUUUUGGCCUGCCUCUCCUUUCUCCUCAGGGAUCCGUGUUUACACUUACAUGCCUGUUUACAUGUACAGCUUGCUCCGUGGGUGAGAUCCCUGGGCUUUCCUCCAGGGCUUUUCUCCAGUGUUUCUGCCGCCCCAAGAUCGUCGUACUUUACACAAGCUCUUUCAUGUUUUCAGUGUGCAUUCUUCCAUCCCCCAGCCAGGCCAGUUCAGAGAGUUCACACACACAUUUUGCCCAGCGCACAUGUGUUUGCACGCGCGUGCACGCACACACACACUCAUACACACACUCACACACUCACACACCAACAAUUCUGAAAAGCAACUUGCACACAUGCAGAACUUUGGUUUACUGAUCCAGGUGAAUGCACUGUGGUAAGCACCGCGGUCUCACGAAUUCCGCU